CUGGAUUCGAAGCCAAUCGGAGCGGCGCGUUGCGCCGACGCGCGGUUUAAAGGAAACGCGUGGGGUUCCCAAACCACCGCGAUUCAUCUUCAUUUUUGUGUCAGUGCUGUGUGGGUUGUGUAUCAGGGUCCCCGUGGCCGACUUUCUUCAAGCUUACCCAAGAAGGAUAAGGAUCCAUUGAAACCCAAGCAUCCAAUGUCAGCAUUCUUCUUAGUCACAAACAGUAGC